CGUGAAACAUCACGUAAAUCCAACAAAAUACUUUUUCGGUUCAGUUUACCUGACAAAGUUACCCCGUCACUGUUACGUGAAAAUCACGUACUCGCUCUAAUUCGUUUUGAUCUGUUCAUUCUUCGAUGUAUAACUAGCAAGAUGGCGUCUAUUCAAAACAAAGUGAUCUGCUCACAUAUUUGUGUAUUAAACAACUUGAAUUGGAAAUAUUUGAAGAAUGUAGAAAUAUUCGGCACUGGAUAAGCUUAUUUCCUCUUGGCGAAUCCCAAAGCGGUGAUAGAGCACCAAAUGGAUCCGGACAUGAAUCAAAUAAUCGAUUAAUCACCUCGUCCUCCACCACCCGGAGGAAGAUUCGUAAAACAAUAGAUUACUGCAUAAUGAGAAAUCCACAACAGAAUCACAAUUCAAAAAGCAGGCUCUGUUGUGAUUCCACCAACUAGUAGCAGACAAGGUGAGUAUUUUUGUUAUUACAAUGCGACAGAACUUCUUCUAUCUGCGGAACUGUCACCCACAAGUCCAGCCGGCAGCUGACUGCCGCUAGUAUAUGGCCCUAGUGACACAACUGAUUCUAAUUAGGAUCAAACGAGGAUUUUUUCAGAAUUCCGUUUGUAGUGUAAAGUAUCGCUUUCUCCUCCGAGUAUUCUUAGUACCACGAUUGUGUUCGCUGCAGCAUCUGAUCUUUUAGAAACAUCCUUCCUAAAUAGUUUGUGUUUUGACAUUGUUGAAGAUAUAUUCAAGUGCACCCGAGCUAGUUUAUCCGCAAUGGCGAUUUUGCGUAAGUUUCAACGUGGCUGAGUAUCCGCUGAUCUCUUUAGUCUGGCAAGUUGUAUACAAUAUUCGCAAA